ensembl:snRNA U6 U6 spliceosomal RNA
GCAUUCACUUUGGCUAUGUAUAUACUAAAAUUGGAAUGAUACAGAGAUUAGCUUGGCCCAUGUGCAAGGAUGACAUGCAAAUUUGUGAAGUGUUUCAUAUGUUU